rnacentral:rRNA from 1 species
AACGAACGCUGGCGGCAUGCCUAACACAUGCAAGUCGAACGAGACCUUCGGGUCUAGUGGCGCACGGGUGCGUAACGCGUGGGAACCUGCCCUUAGGUUCGGAAUACCUCCCCGACAGGGGUGCUAAUACCGGAUAAUGUCUUCUGACCAUAGAUUUAUCCCCAUUGGUUGGGCCCGCGUUGUAUUAGCUGGUUGGGAGGGUAAAAGCCUACCAAGGCUACGCUCCAUAGCUGGUCACAGAGACUGGGCAGCCACACUGAGACUGAGACACGGCCCAGACUCUUACGCGAGGCAGGAGAGGGGAAUAUAGGACUAUGGGGGGAGGGCUGAUCCAGCAAGGCCGCGUAAGUGAUGAAGGCCGGAGAGAUGUAAAGCUCUUUUACCCGGGAUGAUAAUGACAGUACCGGGAGAAUAAGCACCGGCUAACUCCGUG